UUAGAUACCCUGGUAGUCCACCCCGUAAACGUUGGGAACUAGUUGUGGGGUCCAUUCCACGGAUUCCGUGACGCAGCUAACGCAUUAAGUUCCCCGCCUGGGGAGUACGGCCGCAAGGCUAAAACUCAAAGGAAUUGACGGGGACCCGCACAAGCGGCGGAGCAUGCGGAUUAGUUCGAUGCAACGCGAAGAACCUUACCAAGGCUUGACAUAUACGAGAACGGGCCAGAAAUGGUCAACUCUUUGGACACUCGUAAACAGGUGGUGCAUGGUUGUCGUCAGCUCGUGUCGUGAGAUGUUGGGUUAAGUCCCGCAACGAGCGCAACCCUCGUUCUAUGUUGCCAGCACGUAAUGGUGGGAACUCAUGGGAUACUGCCGGGGUCAACUCGGAGGAAGGUGGGGAUGACGCCAAAUCAUCAUGCCCCUUAUGUCUUGGGCUUCACGCAUGCUACAAUGGCCGGUACAAAGGGCUGCAAUACCGUGAGGUGGAGCGAAUCCCAAAAAGCCGGUCCCAGUUCGGAUUGAGGUCUGCAACUCGACCUCAUGAAGUCGGAGUCGCUAGUAAUCGCAGAUCAGCAACG
rnacentral:rRNA from 1 species